rnacentral:rRNA from 1 species
AGUGGACGCUGGCGGUAGGCCUAACACAUGCAAGUCGAACGGCAGCACAGUAAGAGCUUGCUCUUACGGGUGGCGAGUGGCGGACGGGUGAGGAAUACAUCGGAAUCUACUUUUUCGUGGGGGAUAACGUAGGGAAACUUACGCAAUACCGCAUACGACCUACGGGUGAAAGCAGGGGAUCUUCGGACCUUGCGCGAUUGAAUGAGCCGAUGUCGGAUUAGCUAGUUGGCGGGGUAAAGGCCCACCAAGGCGACGAUCCGUAGCUGGUCUGAGAGGAUGAUCAGCCACACUGGAACUGAGACACGGUCCAGACUCCUACGGGAGGCAGCAGUGGGGAAUAUUGGACAAUGGGCGCAAGCCUGAUCCAGCCAUACCGCGUGGGUGAAGAAGGCCUUCGGGUUGUAAAGCCCUUUUGUUGGGAAAGAAAAGCAGCAGGUUAAUACCCCGCUGUUCUGACGGUACCCAAAGAAUAAGCACCGGCUAACUUCGUG